UUUAUCAUGUUUUGUGUUCAUUUUUGUUAUGCUUAUGACAUUUUUCUUUAUGAACUCAGUGUCAUCGAAAUAUGUUUCACGAGUUUCAGGUAGCUGUUAGACUGUGUAGGUUAGGUUAUGUAUACUCAGAUACCGCUCCAUGGAAUUCAUACCAUUAUUUAGUCCAGUUCCUACUCCAGUCUAAUGAAAUCGAUGAACCAUGAUUUCCAAAUAAGAAAUUUUAGUAUAUCGAUACUUAUCGGAUCAAUUUUAACCGUUCAAGAAGUUACACGUGCAGUAUACUAGCGGCACAUACACUGACCUGUAUCGGACUCGGGGUUCGAUGUGAGACGGUAGUCGGUGCUCCGGCAACAUAUUCAUUGUCGUCUGUUGUCGAUAACUGUUUCUAUUGUCCUCUUCAUGUUUGUGUGUGAAAUGUACCUACCUAUAUGUAAGCCACUUGUUUUCACAAAAAACACUUGUCGUCCUGUGACUUUGAUGUACAUCAUCACCAGCUAUACUGAUCACUUGUAAUACUUGUUUGUGCUAGCGUGCUGUGAUUGAAUGAACGUUUCUGUUUUGAGAAUUCGACGUUGUCAAACAUGCUAUUUAAAUUGUAUAAUUUAUAUUAAAAUUAUUUGACAACAGAACACAAAGGACCAUAAAGCACCUAGGCCACACUAAGGCAAUUUUGGUAGAGCUGUGAAGAAAAUAUGUAAGAUUGAAAAGUUCAGAGCUGAUCUUUCAUCAUCGGCCGAAGAAAUAAAAUCUAAAAAAUAAUAAAAAAAAUGUCAUAUUCUAGUUUAGAUCCUGGCGAAUAUUUAAUUCAUUAUUUUCGCUUUUGUUUUAUAUCAAAAGGACGUUGCACAGAUAUUUAUUAUCUCCGUCUUA